AAAAAAGGAGUCCCCUAGGAAUGGCCGUCAGGGUGGCAGUAACAAAUCCCAAGGACAGGUAAAGGGUUGCGUAACUGGUUAGGGGCAGCAGCGUGACCACGUCAGUGACAGCCACAAAGCAGCAGAGCGGGGACUGGGAUGGGCACGGGCACAGCGGCAGCAGCAUUCGGGAUGCUUCCAGAGGAUGCACGCCAUGCUGGAACCAGGUCAGAGCACAGGAGGUGGAGCAGGGCGCUGCAGGGUUGGGGUCCAGCGGGGACUGAUGGAGGCCGGCAACCACAGGACGUUCUUCUCCACGUGGUCUCGUUCCUGAUGCUGUGACCCGGGAAAUCAGAGUCAGGAGCAUUGACAUCAAGGAAAUUGAAGUCAGUUACCCUGAGAAUCUCAUAUUAUUGUAGAAAAAUCUAAGCAUAGCGCUUUAUUAUUAAAAUCAAUCAAUUUUGGGACUUCCCUGGCAGUCCAGUGGUUAGGACUCUGCACUCCCACUGCAGGGGACGCGGGUUCAUCCCUGGUGGGGGGACUAAGAUCCCGCAUGUGGCCUGGGGCGGCCCAAACAAAACAAAACAGUCAAUUUUAGAAGCCAAAAUAUUUUCCCGCUUUUUUAUUUCAGGUAGAACGUUUGUCUGAAAACUAAGAUCUGCAGCCAUCUUGCUGGCAUUCAUAUGUGAGAAAGGGUUUUUGCUGUCAGCUGAAACCCUCCGCAGCCCACCCACCACUAAUUCCUCUUCACUCUGGCACGCAGAGCUAAGUCUCCAGUGUGUGGCCCAGGAAUGCUUGACACCAUCUCAGAAUCCAAAGUGGACAUAUUUAUAGUGUGUCCCGACUUUGAAAGGAGUUAAGAGCAGAGAGCUGAAAAUAGUUGGUCUGGAUGGGAAAUGAAAAUCAAAUGUUCUCUUACUCUGAAGGGCGUGAUGAACGAAGAUUCAUAAUGUAAGACGCUAUGUAGCACUCUGAGAAAAGAUGAUGCCUACAUAUUUAGCUUAAUUUAAGGGAAGAUGGUGAGUUGGAUUUUUAUGUGUAUAACAUACUAUGAAAAAAUGUGAAGAAAGGAGAAUUUCACUGAUGUUGAAAUUUAUGGUCUUUUUUUUUUUUUCACUCCCACAAGCAAUUCUCUUUUUGGCAGAAACUGGAGAAAGCUUAACAUUUAUUUAUAUCGUUUAACUGUUCCAUUUUGUCUUGUCAUCAUCUUUUGGUUGAAUACAACUGAGUUUUUAAAUGAGAAAGUCUUGUUAAACAAUCUAACUGCAGGGAUCAAACACACACACACACACACACACACACACACACACACACACACACCCACGAGCUAUCAUUCCAUAGUGUAUUUGUUUAAGGAUUUUAGAAUCAGAAGGCCUUCCUCAAGCUCUGACCUGAUAAUUCCUACCUGUGAGACUUUGAGGAACUAACUCAAACUCUCUGAAGACUCAUUUCCUACCUUAGAAUUAUACGACAAUCAAGCAAGAUAAUGAAUUUAAAGCAAAAGUAUACUUCUUGAAAUAUAACACCGGUUUGUUCAUGCAUCCAUUCAACUAAUACUAAUCAGGCUCUAUCUUGUGCAGGCCCUGAACCCAGCACUGGAGAUACAGCAGUGAACAAAACAGCAACCCUGGCCCCAGGAAUUUUACGUUCUCUGAGGGGAGACAGGAAAUAACAAAUAAGAUGUUGUCUUGUGCCCAGGGCAGCUGUGAGUAUGUGAAUGCCUCAUCAGUGACUGUGGACACCGCCCAAAUGGCAAUCAGCACAGAAACCUUAUAAAAUUACCAACAGAUUACUGCUUCUGUCUGCCAGCACUUUCAAUGCCAGCCAGCCUGGGGGCUUGUUUUGUUUUGGGUUUUUUUGGUUUUGUUUUUUUUUCUACUGGCAUACGUUGUGAUUUAGAGUGAGUCUUUGUGGACUGAAUGAAAAUAUAGGCUCACACCCAGUUAACAAGCUUUGACAAAUCAGAAGGCACAUACAUGGCAUAUUGGCAAGAAUGAAUAACAACCUAGAAAACUAGGGAUCUUCUUCUCCUUUCCCUUCCCUUCCCUUAGUAAUCCAGGACAAAUUUAAUAAAACUCUGUCUUACCCCUGUCAUACGCUCUAUGUUGUGAGGAAUACCACAGAAGUAAGUGACACUUCCUGUCCUUCAAGGGCAAAUAUAAGAAGGUUGAAUCACAAUGACUGUGGUUUGAAUCAUUUACCAGGAUAGAAAAAAAUUAAGCUGAAAGUGUCUAUUCACAUGUGCUUCUAUCUCUUUUGAUAUCCAGAGGAUGUGAGUGACAUAACAUCUGAGUUAGAUACAUUUCCCCCAAUGCAAAAGUGAUCGCCUUGGUCUUGUUCUUGCUUGGGCUACACACUCUCCCAAUUCCCCCCAAUUCCUGCAGCUCUCCCUCAGUGACUUCUCUUUUCUAUAUUUUAUAGGAUCUCCGAAGAAUCCCUGCUUCUGUGAGACCACCUGAACCAUGACCCCAUAAAAUUAAAAUGGUGAGAUGGAAAACCAUGUAGAGCAUCACGAUACACCACGGCACCUGGCGGUUGAGUGGAGCUUUGUGCUGCCAAAGGGGUCCAGGCCUGGGCUUCUGCCAUGUGAUUCCCUGCCCACCUUCUACCCAGAGGGGACUGCUAAUUUUUUUAAAUAGGUUUGACACUGCUGCUAUCCAAACAGUUAUACACUAUUUUCUCUACUCUGUUCAAUCUUCUUCUUGUGGGUACAUUUUUCAAUUGUUUCCAAAAAUUCAGUCCCCUGUGAAGCAUGAGUUUGUAAAGAUUUAGAUCAGGUUUGUUAUCUCUACUGAUUUUAACUGAACAAUGUGUCCUGAUAUAUUAUGUGAAUUAGCAGGUCAAAUUUUAUUUCAAUACUAUAGAGUUUGGAAAGAGCCCUAGAAGCCAAUAAGAAACCAAGCUUCUCAAGAACCUGGGCAGGUACUUUCACUUCUAUUUUCUUAUCUGUUACCAGGGUACCACUCUGGCCAUACAGGUCUGCAUCAUACAAUUCAAGGAGACCAUUCACAUCAUGACUGAGCAGCAAGACAGUCUGUCUAUAACAGGAGGAGGGGUGAGCAAAUAAACUGGUCUUUAAAAUCACUUUGAGCUAAAACUUAAUCAUUAUGACAAUGUGGUAUUCCAGCUUUUCUCUAGAUUUUCUUCAUGUUUGCUUUCUUUUUUCGGUACGCGGGCCUCUCACUGUUGUGGCCUCUCCUGUUGCGGAGCACAGGCUCCGGACGUACAGGCUCAGCGGCCAUGGCUCACGGGCGCAGCCGCUCCGUGGCAUGUGGGAUCCUCCCGGACUGGGGCACGAACCUGUGUCUCCUGAAUCGGCAGGUGGACUCUCAACCACUGUGCCACCAGGGAAGCCCCAUGUUUGCUUUUUAAAAUAUCAUUUUUUACCAGUGCUUUUAAACAUAUGUUCUGGACUAAAUUUGGUUUAGAAAAUAGUUUUAAAUUUUGUAAUAUUUUGUGUAAAAAAAUGAAAUAGUAAAUAUUAAAAAAAAUUAAUGUCUUAAAACUUUACAAACUCCACAAAAACCAAAAUUCUGUAAUAAAAAUAGCAUGCCACAGAGAUCAUCUAUACAAUGAUUUAAACUGAGAUUGCUAACAAAUUAAAUGGAUUAUUAGAUGUCAAAUACUGUUGCUUUCCACUGUAAUUCAAAUGGAAUAUUCCUAGGCCUUAAACAUCACCAUGAACACUGUGCUCUAAAGCCAACCUCCCUAUCCUUAUCAUUGGUCUUGGAACCCAACCAAGGGAGUUUAGUUACUGAAUUGCUAACAAAACUCCCUUGAUGAAAUGAUUCUCCCCGUUAAAUGGUCCUAACAGUGUUAGAAUCCAGCUCUUUUCCUGUAGGUAGUAGUAUGUUUAUGUUAAAUCACUGUACUCUACAUCCAAUCAAAAGGAUGCAGGGAAGCUUCAAAGUUUAUUAAUACCAUGAUGACUAAAAUCAAGUAGCUUUGCUUUGUAAUUUCCAGCUCAGCAGUAUCUUACAGUGCAAUGUGGCAGGAAGUCUACAAACUGGAAGCCUAGCCACUCCUGCUAUAAAUUAAACCUGUUUCCUUAUUGUUAUAAACAAAAUGCUUAAUUAUCACUCUGCUUUUUCACCAUCCUUUCAUAGUAUUCAAGACUCUUUGGUCUUCUUAUUUUUUUCACCUCUAGAAAAGGACAUUUUUUUAAAACUUCCGCCAUUUUAAGGGCUUGCCUAGAAACCAAACCUGACUUUAAAACUGGGUAGAGAAUUCCCCAUGAUAUCUGAGCACUUGCUCUGUACCAGGCACUGGUUGUAAUAUUGUACUUUUACAUAUUUUAUUACCUCAUUUAAUCCUCACAACAACCCUAAGAGGUAAUUCCAUUAUUCUCAUUUUACAGGUGAGGAACCUGAGGCCCGGAGAGGUUAGUAGGUUACCCAAGGUCAUGCCAUUAGAAUUCAACAGAGCAGAACAUGUGCUCUUACCCACUGGUCCCCACUCCUAUCCCCAAUUUGAGCUUACUUGUUUGGUAGCCAAAUUUCUAAACACUGAUGAUGCAUAUAACUUAAUUGCCUUCAGAACAUUCUCCUGGUAAGCAGUGUUAUUGCAAGUCUAAAAGCAGGCUUGUUAACACACUCAUCAUCAGAGAAAGAAAUGAUGCUCUAAACGUUCCUAGCCUGGCACCAGCUCCUCCCAGACUGCUCCCACCCUGUUUUUUUGUUUGAUUGUCUGUUUUGCAAACGGUGCCCUUGAUAUUCCUUUUUCAUGUUGAAUACUUUGAAUUUCACUUUAACUCUGAGAUGUCUGUGCAGCAUUUUAAAAGGAACUAAAAACAUAGAGAUUGCGUAGAAAAUGUUAGACUAGAAUUGGUAGUUGAAAAGUAAAACAAAAAUCGAUAAAAUUACAAAUAUAAAAAUAAUACAGUAUUCUGAAUUUUUCAAAAGAUAGGCUAAAAGACUUCCUUAGAAACAAUUUUCUACAUGUCAUUCUCACUCAACCACUACAUGGUAUAAAUGUGUAUUUUCAGAUAAUUGGGCAAAGCUAAUAACUUCAAAGCGAUAGAAGUCUAAACAAACUGAAACCGCAGUUUGAAGGCUAAAACCAUAUUUGCAAUAAGUGUAAAUGUUAGUGCUUAAACUGCCCAGGAGCGUCCUUGGCCUUUGAAUUGAGAUACAGUGCACACUAGUGGCCUCUUUGUGUCACUGGUGACCUUUCCUGGACCCCCUUGCACCUCAGCUCUUGAAUGGGUUUCCACUCAAGUGUCAUAGAUGUUCUUGCAAAGGCCACUGGAGAUAAUGGCUUUUAUCACAGCGAAUCUCUUCCCAAGACGUGUAGUAUUCGGGAUGAAAAGAAUGUUCCUGGCUAAUUUAUGUUGCUCAGAAAACUGAAACAGAUAAAGGAAUCACCUUUAAAAAUCACCACCACACUGUAAUAUAAUCAGGAACUGGGUAAACUCAACAAUAGAAGGAAGUCGAAUAGGCUGACCUUUCCCAAGUUGUUUUUAAACUGACAUGUGAGUGGAAAUUACUGGUGUGGUUUUGUUGCAGCUUCUGUUUUCCUAAGGAAUUUGGAAUUUGAGCAGGGAAGUAGUCUUGUUCUUUGGACAUAGAACAAGAAAGAAUACACCCAUAAACAAGAAGUAUUAUUUAUCUCUUACUAUUGACCUGCACAGUUCUACACAGUGGUAGAGCUUGAGGGGAACAAGGUUUCAAAAGAAGUAUUGGAAUACACUGAGUUAAUAAAGGGUCUCUUCUCUCAAGAAGUUUUUACAGUUUAACUCAAAAUUUUUGCAUUUUAAACAUGUUUGGAAGUAUUUAAUUUUCUUGCAUCGUCAUUUGUCAUUUUAAAAGUUACAUCUGUAGGGCUUCCCUUGUGGCACAGUGGUGAAGAAUCCACCUGCCAAUGGAGGGGACAUGGGUUUGAGCCCUGGUCCGGGAAGAUCUCACAUGCCACGGAGCAACUAAGCCCGUGAGCCACAACUACUGAGCCUGCGCUCCAGAGCCCGCGAGCCACAACUACUGAGCCCAUGUGCCACAACUACUGAAGUCCGUGCACCUAGAGCCCGUGUUCCACAGCAAGAGAAGCCACCACAAUGAGAAGCACACGCACCGCAGCAAAGAUUAGCCCCCACUCGCCACAGCUAGAGUAAAGCCCACGCACAGCAACUAAGACCCAACACAGCCAAAAAUAAGUAAGUAAAUAAUUCAAUAAUUUUUUUUUUUUUUUUCGGUACACGGGCCUCUCACUGUUGUGGCCUCUCCCGUUGCGGAGCACAGGCUCCGGACGCGCAAGCUCAGCGGCCAUGGCUCACGGGCCCAGCCGCUCUGCGGCAUGUGGGAUCUUCCCGGACCGGGACAUGAACCCGUGUCCCCUGCAUCGGCAGGCGGACUCUCAACCACUGCACCACAAGGGAAGCCCAAUAAGUUUUUUUAAAAAAAUAAAAGUUACGUCUGUAGUGUCUACAUAAACUGUGAUUCCUGGGUUUUCUAACAUGGUACCCAAAUACUGUGUAUGUUGUAUACUGUGUUGUCUUUUCAUGUAAAUAUAUUAUUAACAAAUUACCAAAAAGUAGGGGACAUUGUUAAACCAUUUGUUUUUAGUUUAAAAGAUAUGGUUUUUAGUUUAAAAAAUAUGGUCACUCUAACCAUGCAUCAGUGUUCUAAGUGGACUUAUCCAAUUUACAUUAUCAGUCACAUAGUAAUACCCCCAAAUAAAACAGUGGCAAUACAUUUCUAACAACCAACAGUAGAAGCAGAACCCCACGGUCCGUCAUUCCUUGGAUUGUACCUUUAUCCAGAAUUGUCCUGUGUUUGAAAUCUUUGACUUCAAACCACGAAUCAAAUUGUCUUCUACUUGUCUAACUUCACCACCCUUACUCCCAUUCUGGGUCCUCUCCACACUGCUCACUUCUCAUUGUCUCCCAUUUCUUCUGAAUUCCUGUCCAGGAUUGCAGGGUCCAUUGCUUUUACAUCUCUCACACCAGAGUCCUUCCAUAUUCUCUUGUCCUUCUCCCACACCUGUCUCAUCCAUCUUCAAUCCUGGAUCAGUUCAUUAUCUGUUUUCUCUGUAUCUGAGUCAGCAGAGAAAAAUCUCAUCACUGUGUUGAUGGCAGGAUUGCAAGCUCAGGUCUUUUUUUGACCUGGCUCAUCUACUUGUUCUUGCUUGUCUUACUCAUUCCCUAUGGAAAUGCUGCCAAAAUUUUUCAUUCUCUCUAAGCCUUCCCUCUUACCCUGAAAAAUUCAUAUUCAAGAGAUGACCUUGCCUCCUCUUUCACAUAAAAAAUAGAAACCAUCAGCAUUGACCCCUCUCAAUUUCUUCUUACUGCAGCCUACCAAUAUUUUCAGGCUGCCUUUUCACUCUUCAAGCCUUAGCAUAAAAGCCACCCUGGAUCAUUCUCUCUCAGUGCAGGUCGUCAGUUCUGUUUUCUGAGCUUCAAUCACAUAAUGAAUAUAAUCCUGUCAAAAUGAUAGAUUUUUUAGGAAUAGAUUUUAAAUUUCCUGCUCUCCACUAAAUAUAUCUGAUGAAAUAAAAAUCAUACUUUAAGGAAAGACAAGAAAAAUUUAAACAUGAAAUUCUUUUCUCUGCCCAUUUGGACCUCCUCCCUCCCUUCUGGUAUGCACUGUGCAUCUGCAUUAUGAUAAACCAGACCUUCCCAAUGGCAGAGAUACCUGCUCAAGCAUAAAGAUCAAUUUUUCUUCUUCUGGCACCAGCCAUGUCACUCUUUAAAAGGUAACCUUCCUUUCUCAAUCCUGUGAGGGGUUACGAUGACCCACUAGUUGCCUCAAACAUGCAUGUCUUUGGUGAAUUUUAUAUACAAUGCCAAUAUAUCAUUUCCCUUAAAGUUAGUGACUGAUGCAGAACAGACUGGGUCAGAUGACCUGGGGAGAUACUGGGCCUCACCUAAUGGAAUUCUUAGCUUAAAUUCUUAUUUAUGUCCUUAUUAAUGUUACUUGCUAUAUUGCUUGUAUUCUGCCUAUUUUACAAGAUUAUUGUUUCUUGCACUACCAAAUGUGUGACUGAGCUUCUGAUAAAAUUAAUCAUGAUUAGGUGACUUGAAAUGAUUGAGCAAAUAUAUAGUUCUAUGAGAUCAAUGAUCAUGAUAGUAAAACUCGAGAUAUGGGAAGAGGUAACAAACAGGAAACAUCUCCUGAACCAUAACACACUAGUAAGACAGUCGGUCCAGAGGCUUUUGGCUGCUGUUAACAGGGCCAAGUCCAGUAAUAGCACAUUGAGUUACCUAUCAAUGAACUCCUCACCUGACGUGGGAACGAGCAUUCCUAGCAUCUCAUGAAAUGCCUCCCAAACUUGGAUGAAAUUAAGACUGAAGGGCUUCCCUGGUGGUGCAGUGGUUGA